rnacentral:rRNA from 1 species
AGAGUUUGAUCCUGGCUCAGAGCGAACGCUGGCGGCAGGCUUAACACAUGCAAGUCGAGCGGGCGUAGCAAUACGUCAGCGGCAGACGGGUGAGUAACGCGUGGGAACGUACCUUUUGGUUCGGAACAACACAGGGAAACUUGUGCUAAUACCGGAUAAGCCCUUACGGGGAAAGAUUUAUCGCCGAAAGAUCGGCCCGCGUCUGAUUAGCUAGUUGGUGAGGUAACGGCUCACCAAGGCGACGAUCAGUAGCUGGUCUGAGAGGAUGAUCAGCCACAUUGGGACUGAGACACGGCCCAAACUCCUACGGGAGGCAGCAGUGGGGAAUAUUGGACAAUGGGCGCAAGCCUGAUCCAGCCAUGCCGCGUGAGUGAUGAAGGCCCUAGGGUUGUAAAGCUCUUUUGUGCGGGAAGAUAAUGACGGUACCGCAAGAAUAAGCCCCGGCUAACUUCGUGCCAGCAGCCGCGGUAAU